GAUGAAGAACGUAGCGAAAUGCGAUAAGUAGUGUGAAUUGCAGAAUUCAGUGAAUCAUCGAAUCUUUGAACGCACAUUGCGCCCCUUGGUAUCCCGAGGGGCAUGCCUGUUCGAGCGUCAUUUCACCACUCAAGCCUGGCUUGGUGUUGGGCGACGUCCCCUUUGGGGACGCGCCUCGAAACGCUCGGCGGCGUGGCACCGGCUUUAAGCGUAGCAGAAUCUUUCGCUUUGGAAGUCGGGGCCCCGUCUGCCGGAAGACCUACUCGCAAGGUUGACCUCGGAUGAGGCAGGGAUACCCGCUGAACUUAAGCAUAUCAAUAAGCGGAGGA
rnacentral:misc_RNA from 1 species